rnacentral:rRNA from 1 species
UACGGAGGGUGCAAGCGUUAUCCGGAUUUACUGGGUUUAAAGGGUGCGUAGGUGGGUCUGUAAGUCAGUGGUGAAAUCUCCGAGCUUAACUCGGAAACUGCCAUUGAUACUAUAGGUCUUGAAUCAUCUGGAGGUAAGCGGAAUAUGUCAUGUAGCGGUGAAAUGCUUAGAUAUGACAUAGAACACCAAUUGCGAAGGCAGCUUACUACGGAUGUAUGACACUGAGGCACGAAAGCGUGGGAGCAAACAGG